GGUGCAGAAUCACAAUUGUCAUUUCAAUUAUACAUAUUUGGUUCAUAACAGAUGGGGCAUAGAGUAAUUGGAGCAUAUCAGUAACGAAUGAAAUGUUUUGGAGCAUAUCAAUAACAAAUGAAACAUAUCGGAGCUUAUCAAUGGCAUAUGAAAUGUUCCGGAGCAUAUCAAUAGCGUAUGGAACAUUUCGAAGCAUAUCAAUAACAAAUGAAACAUAUCGGAGCUUAUCAAUGGCAUAUGAAAUGUUCCGAAAUGAAUGAAACAUUUCGGAGCAUAUAAAUUACAAAUGAAAUGUUUCGGAGCUUAUCAGUAGCGUAUGAAAUGUUCCGGAGCAUAUCAAUGGCGUUUGGAACAUUUCAGAGCAUAUCAAUAAC
rnacentral:lncRNA from 1 species